CACGCAGGCGGUUUGCUCAGUCCUUUGUGAAAGCCCGGGGCUCAACCCCGGAAUUGCAUGGGAUACUGGCAGACUUGAGACUGGUAGAGGCUAGCGGAAUUCCUGGUGUAGCGGUGGAAUGCGUAGAUAUCAGGAAGAACACCUGUGGCGAAGGCGGCUAGCUGGGCCAGUUCUGACGCUCAUGUGCGAAAGCGUGGGGAGCAAACA
rnacentral:rRNA from 1 species